GAAAACAAAAAUUAAAUAUCUAAUUUAAAUUAGAACAUGAAAAAAAAUAUUAAUUAUAACAUAAAAAAUAUUGGAGGGAGUACUUUUUUUUACUUAUUUUGGUUUAUUGUAGCAAAAGCAGGUUAUCAACAACAGAAUAUGCAAUCAUGUCCACACUAUCCAAAACUUUUUAUGACCUAGUGUUUUAGAAUGAAGUUGUGUGGAUAUCAUCAAGAGAAGAGAUAUUUAGAGAGUAUUGUAUACUUAUUUACAUCUUGAAUGUGAUUGCACCUUUAUCACUUUUUCAACAUAUUUACAACCACACUGCUAAUGAACCCUUCAAAUUUUCAAAAUUCUACCUUUUGGUCCCCAAAAGAGCAUGAUAUUUGCAAUCCAUAUUUUGUCUGGAUACUUGUCAUUGUUGAAAUUUUUGAAAAGCAAAUUAUUUUUCUAGGCUUGCAAAAUUAAGGACCACUUAUCUCAAUUCCAUUUGAAAUAGCCAACUAGCUCUGUAGACUUGUCCAAAUUUUGCUGUCACCUUCAUCACGCACUCCUACAAAAUGUGUACUAUUUCAUUUUUGUGUACAUGGCUUUGAAAUUAUCGAACAUCAACAAACCCAGAUUCCCUUUAAUUAAAAUAUACUUAGUUAUAUGAAUUAACUUCUUUGACGUGUUGAUGGCGAAAGAACUCAAUAAUACACAACAGAUUUGUUAUAUUCCAAAUGAUAAACUUGAUGAAUUUACACGACUUUCAAUUAUAGAAUUCACAUAUUCUCUUAUAUAUAUAUACACUAAUUAGUUGUAGUUUACUAACUAACUUUCUAACUACUAACAAUUCAUAACAACCUAUAACAUACGAAUUAAUUAACCUCUACGGGUUUACAUUACACCUUUACAAAGCGAUGAUUAAACUUUCUUUACUAUUGAUUAAGAUUGAAUUGCGUUACAUCAUAUAAUUGAAAUAUGGGAUAUGCAUAGAUAAGUUUCAUGGAGAAAAAAUUCUCCAAGAAAAGAACGUUAACUGCCGUCAUUCACCGUUGCGUUUAUGGAAUUAUAUAAAUUGACAAUUACGGCUUGCUAAUUGCGUGGCAAAGUAAUACUCUUGAAUUCAUGAGAGUGGGCCUAAAAACCAAUAAUAAUAUGAAGGUACUAUAUGUGAAGAACAUAAGGAAAUUUUUUAAUACCAAUUAACGCCUCUAUAGCUUAUGGUGUACUGUGAAUGUGUAUGGCUUUUUAACUGAAACUCGUACGAAGUACUCAACUUUGGAUAUAUGAUUUUUUAAUUCAAGGUACUCCAAUCCACACGGAAAUGAGGAGAUGAUCAAUCAUGCUACAAACAGAGGGAAAAAGCAGAUAUUGUUCUCUCUGUGUAUACAUAAUAAUCCACAUAAUUUGUG
rnacentral:lncRNA from 1 species